rnacentral:lncRNA from 1 species
AUUUAAUAUACUAAAUAUAUAUAGAAUAGGUUUUUAUACGGGUUAGGGGCUUAAUAGUUGAACCCGAGAUUCCAAAUUCGAAGCCUAAUUGCUUCAUAUUUCUACUUAUGAGAAGGGUUCAUCCAUUGCAUUUAAGGGCUCAGCUACAGACCUACAGUGCUCAUGGACUUCGACUUGACGUAUCUCACUCGACCGUUAGAUUUGUUAUUGUGUCUCUUACCAUUAGAUUUAUUAUGGACCGCAACCCCCACGUAAAUUAUUGAGCUCAACCUAAUUCAACUUAUUAGUUUUCUAGAUCUAUUAUCACAGGAUAAAAAAGUUUGAUCUAUUUCAGCUAACACAAGCGACUUUUCUCUCUAAAAAAAACACUCUCA